GUUAAAAGAGAUUAUACAACAUAUCCCCAUUACGUCUACAAAUGUGAGGUUUUUUAUCCACUAGCCGAUACUAGUCGGAUUUCUAGAAAAAUCACCAACUAACUCCAUCUUUUUUAGUAUAAAAGAAGUAUACACAGAGUUCAAGAUACGCAUUCUUAUAUACUUUUCUUAAGUUCAAACAACUUAUUUACACUCGCUCUUUCUGAUAAUUACUGACUUAAACGUCAAAGUGGUUGCCCAUAUACAUCAACUACCUCACAUUUUUUCUUUUGCAGAGUAAUCAAUUCAGCUCCUUUUCUACCACAUCAAAAAAUAAAAUCAAUUUUAAAAAAAAUAAACACAGCAAAAUAAUUUUUAAUAUUUAAAAUUUGCAUAAAAUAGAUCACUAUUAAAAAAAUUAAAAAUGUAAUUAUUUAAAUUUGGUUAAUCUUAUCUUUGUCUCUAACUUUGAAUAUAUACUCAAAUUUAUAUUUACUUUUAAAACAUGUUUAAUAUCUAAAAUAUACUAGUUCAUUGAUUGAUGAAUAGUAACAAGCCAAACAACAAGAUUAAUUAAGGCUCAAAGAAAAUAAAGACAAUUUUCUAAAGGAAUUCUAGCAUCCAAGCCCAAAAACUUGACUUAGUAACAGAUCCAAAAAUAAUAUAUGGAGCGCUACUUAUGUUUUAAAACCACUGGCAGUCGAAGGAGAAGGAGACCAUUUAAAGAGAAAGAGAAUUUCAGAACAUAGUCAGGAAGAUAAACUUGUAAAAACACCGACUAGAGACCCAUAAAGAACCUCCAACCACCAAAAGCUUCAAAUACUAUAAGGAACAAGAAUAAGAACUAGAUCUAACCAUUACUGAGGUCACACCAUCAAAGAGAAACGAGGGUUCAACAUCAGAAUCGAGACAAGGCUGCAUCCAGAGUCAAGGAAGGCAACAUGCAAUCCAAAAAUAGCAAGAGAAGUAACCAAAACAGUGAACUAACUAAGCAAAUCUAACCUUAGUGGGAAAGGAGCCGACAAAAAGAAAUGAAGAGUCCUUUCUUAAGAUUAGAGCGACUACUUCACUUAGGAUAAUGGGGAGCGAUAUGUAAUCCAAAUAAAAAAGUAGGGCUACCGCCUUGCUCCACCCCUGAAAGAAAAAAAUUAUAAGAGCACCAUAAUUGAGCAACUCCAACAUGAAAAAGGCAACAAAAAAAAAAAACAAAAAAGAAAAACAAAAACAAAAAUUGACAACCCAACAGAAACUCUCAACUAAGUCUCAUUGCCAACAACAUCAAAACAAGAAAGUAUUUACACUCCACUCAAUAAUGGGAGAAAAAACCCAAAUCGGGAAGAGGGAGGCUCCUAGACCGGAAGGGUAAAAAAGCUUUUAAAAGGCAUAAGCACUAAUAAACCCGAAAAAAGGACUAAAUUAAAGAGAGAAAAAAAAAACUCUCUG
rnacentral:lncRNA from 1 species